rnacentral:rRNA from 1 species
UACGAAGGGGGCUAGCGUUGUUCGGAAUCACUGGGCGUAAAGCGCGCGUAGGCGGAUUGUUAAGUCAGGGGUGAAAUGCCGAGGCUCAACCUCGGAACUGCCUUUGAUACUGGCAAUCUUGAGUCCGGGAGAGGUGAGUGGAACUCCUAGUGUAGAGGUGAAAUUCGUAGAUAUUAGGAAGAACACCAGUGGCGAAGGCGGCUCACUGGCCCGGUACUGACGCUGAGGCGCGAAAGCGUGGGGAGCAAACAGG